GGAAAAGACCACUUUGACAUGGUAUUUUGAAUAAUUCUGAAAAUUAUUCCCUUGUAAUGAGUUCCUAGUGCUAGAAUCACUGACUCAAAGGGCAUGAAAACUUCUAAGGGCUUUGAGAUUUUUGUUAAGUUGUCUUCCAGAAAAGUAAAAGCAAUUUAUAUUUUUACCAGUAGGCUUUAUAUUAUUUGGUUCACUUUUUGAAUUUGGUGAUCAGGGCAUUGCAUAUUGCUGUCAUGUGUAUAUAUCAUCAGAAUCUUGUUCAUGUUCUCUUUCUCUUUUCCCAUAUUUAUCCACAUAGUAUAGCUCUCUGAAUAUUCUCAUGUGGAAAUUUUACCAAAAGGGAAAUAAAUAGGUGCAUAAUAAAUCUGGCUCUUCCCUUGUUUCAAUGGAAACCAUAUACCCUAUUGCUAAUAAAAAUGAAAUGGGAAAAAGCCAACAUCAAAAGGCAACACUCAAGAGACAGUGUGUGGCUCCAUGCAAGUUUUUUCCUAAUUUAAAAUAAACAAAUGCUUACACAUAUGACCAGCUUGAUGAAUAGGAAAAGAAGAAAGAAAAGGAAAGAAACAUCAUAGAUAACUGACAUAUGCUUACUUUGUGAGGGUACAACACGUUAAACUUUGGAGCCUUAAUUACUAGGUGGAAUUUUUUCACUGAAAAUGUACAAUCAGAAUUGCUGGAAAGUUUUAGUGCCUGGGUAUUUCCAGUCUUAGGUACUUUAUUUCUGGUCUGAUUGUAUCCCAAGAGUGAUUAAUAAAGGGAGAAGUUCUCAGAUAAAGGAGAAUAUUUAG
rnacentral:lncRNA from 1 species